AGGAGGAGGGUGACCUGUCCCGGGCAGACCAGGCUCUCUGGGCUGUGUGGCCCCAGCUCCCUGAGCCCAGAGGGAGGUGAGGGUGAGAAGGCCUGGACCAGGCAGGACGCAGCCCCCAGGGCCCCUGCUGGGAAGAGGUCAGAACCUCCCAAGAACCCAGAAGGCCAGAACACACUAGAGGGUCCCGGCAUCCUGAUGAGUCCACUGUCCCCGUGAUGGUUUUCAAGGAUGGAGAAGGCUCCCUGUUCUCCGCUGGAACCCUGCAGCCGGGCUGAUGAGACCCCAGCGAGACCUGCAGAACAUUACAGCAAAAUGAAGGAAAGCCAGAGGAAGAGGCAGAUGUGCUGGCCUGUAAACAGUCUGAUUUCCAAUGUAAACCAGAUUCAGGCCCACGACAUCAGGUAAACAUCUGCAUCAGAGCCCCCGGCCCCCCACCGCCCGGGAGGCCCCGGGGUCCACACGGCCGACUCUGGGACCCGUCACAGUGACCGCCGAGACAUUUCGUAAUUAGGCAAAAUUGAUCCUUGCAUUCCUUCCCUAAAUCCCAAAUCUCUGCAAUUUUACUUCUUCUCAAAAAUGAAAACAUUUGGCAAUUAGCUGAUCCAAGUGAAAAAGGUAGAGAAUGUGCUCUCAACUGGAAAAUGCCAAUUAAGGAAGCAGCUCUGACUUCCCACCCGCCCUGGCUAAGCUGGGAGCUUAUCUUCCCCGAGAAGAAUCUGCUGGGAUAAGGGGGCUUGGGAAACACCGAGGGCAGGGCUGCCUCCUCAGCUUCCUCUGAGAGCAGAUUAGCCGUGGCCUUGUGCCAGCAGGGCCUGGGUGCCGCACCGGGUGGCAGGGGGUGGCAGAGCUGGGCCCGGCUCCGGCAGUGGGAUUUGGGGUGGUGGGACCCAGUGGGGCACCUGCUUGUGGGCAGCACUGAGGGCGGUGACGUAGGCAGCGAGUGCCGGUGUCUGCCCCUCCAUCUGGCCGGGUUCCCCACCCUGCUCCUGCAGCCCUGGACCUCAGGGCCCAUUUGCAGUGCAAGGCGGCUCUUCGCCAUUUUGCCCGCAGGGCCCUACCUUGGAUCUUGGGAGCUUCUGUCCCUUGCCCUCUCUUGUCCAGGUCAGCAUCUCCCACUGUGGGAAUCCUAUGUGGCCCCAUCAUCUGGACAGUGUGGGUCGGGUCACUGUGGCUGUUUUGUGUUGUGUGUGUGGGCUCAUCCCUCAGUGCUCAGAAGCUGCAGACACUAUGGAACUGCUUUUCAGGCUCCACGGCCGUCACCCCCUCUAGAGACUUGAUUGUCUCUAGACAUGCCGGGCCGGCCUAGCUGCAUCCAUCAUUCCUGGUGGGUGGGGGGACCCAGGCCUGCUGGCCCCUGUGGUGGUGAAGCCCAGAAGGUGUGAAUCAGUUUACACUGUUUAGUGUCUGAAUAAAAGUCAUAGGACAAAGAGUA
rnacentral:lncRNA from 1 species